rnacentral:rRNA from 1 species
CAACCUGCCCUUCAGAGGGGGACAACAGUUGGAAACGACUGCUAAUACCGCAUACGAUCUAACCUUGGCAUCGAGGAUAGGAUGAAAGGUGGCCUCUAUUUAUAAGCUAUCACUGAAGGAGGGGAUUGCGUCUGAUUAGCUAGUUGGAGGGGUAACGGCCCACCAAGGCGAUGAUCAGUAGCCGGUCUGAGAGGAUGAACGGCCACAUUAGGACUGAGACACGGCCCAGACUCCUACGGGAGGCAGCAUG